rnacentral:rRNA from 1 species
CAAUAGCGUAUAUUUAAGUUGUUGCAGUUAAAAAGCUCGUAGUUGGAUUUCGGGUGGGACGCAGCGGUCUCGCAUUGCGUUUGUACUGCUGCAGCCCUCCUUCUUGCCGGGGGCGGCCUCUCGGACUUCACUGUCUGGGGGUCAGAAUCGGCGAUGUUACUUUGAGUAAAUUAGAGUGUUCAAAGCAAGCUUACGCUCUGAAUAUAAUAGCAUGGGAUAACACGACAGGACUCUGGCCUAUCGUGUUGGUCUAUAGGACCAGAGUAAUGAUUAAGAGGGACAGUCGGGGGCAUUCGUAUUCCGUUGUCAGAGGUGAAAUUCUUGGAUUUACGGAAGACGAACAUCUGCGAAACCAUUUGCCAAGGAUGUUUUCAUUGA